UAAAUUUAAUAUGUAAAAAUC
rnacentral:piRNA from 1 species